rnacentral:rRNA from 1 species
GCGGUAAUACGGAGGGUGCAAGCGUUAAUCGGAAUUACUGGGCGUAAAGCGCACGCAGGCGGUUUGUUAAGUCAGAUGUGAAAUCCCCGGGCUCAACCUGGGAACUGCAUUUGAAACUGGCAAGCUAGAGUCUCGUAGAGGGGGGUAGAAUUCCAGGUGUAGCGGUGAAAUGCGUAGAGAUCUGGAGGAAUACCGGUGGCGAAGGCGGCCCCCUGGACGAAGACUGACGCUCAGGUGCGAAAGCGUGGGGAGCAAACAGGAUUAGAUACCCUGGUAGUCCACGCUGUAAACGAUGUCGAUUUGGAGGUUGUGCCCUUGAGGCGUGGCUUCCGGAGCUAACGCGUUAAAUCGACCGCCUGGGGAGUACGGCCGCAAGGUUAAAACUCAAAU